AUUAGAGUGGCAGAAUCAGGCUAAUGCAUAAGACUUAAAACCUUAUCUAUAGAGGUUCAAACCCUCUCUCUAAUA